CCUACGGGUGGCAGCAGUGGGGAAUAUUGCACAAUGGGGGAAACCCUGAUGCAGCGACGCCGCGUGAGUGAAGAAGUAUUUCGGUAUGUAAAGCUCUAUCAGCAGGGAAGAAAAUGACGGUACCUGACUAAGAAGCCCCGGCGAACUACGUACCAGCAGCCGCGGUAAUACGUAGGGGGCAAGCGUUAUCCGGAUUUACUGGGUGUAAAGUGAGCGUAGACGGCCAGACAAGUCAGAAGUGAAAGCCAAGGGCUCAACCCUGGGACUGCUUUUGAAACUGCCGGGCUGGAGUGCAGGAGAGGUAAGCGGAAUUCCUGGUGUAGCUGUGAAAUGCGUAGAUAUUAGGAGGAACACCAGUGGCGAAGGCGGCUUACUGGACUGUAACUGACGUUGAGGCUCGAAAGCGUGGGGAGCAAACAGGAUUAGAUACCCUUGUAGUC
rnacentral:rRNA from 1 species